rnacentral:lncRNA from 1 species
UGGAUAGAUUGCCCAGUCUUCCCAUGCUCGGAAGCAUGUCAUUACCCGUUGCUUGAAAUUUUCAGACUGUAAAUGGCCUUGUAUUGUACGGUAAGUAGCAUUGAGAUCAGAGAAUAUCUGACAUAAUUUUGUUUCAAAAAAUUUUCUGUAGUAGGAAGCAUUGGCAACUUUAGCUGAAGAGUUGUACAACACAUCUGACACCAGAUAUAAUCUUGCAAUCUUCUUGGGAAGAGGAGUCUUCAGAAUGGACAGCGACUCUGUAAUGCAAUCUACAAUUUCUUCAGCAGCUUCUGCAUUAUUGAGACAGAAAACCAUAGCAUCGCCAAUAUCAUUCUUUCGAGGCGUUAAUCCACGCAAAAUUUCCUCUAGCUUGUCUCUCUGUUCCUCCUUAAGUGCACCCUUCUUGUUCGGUUCCUCCACGAAUGCCUCUGUUUCUUGCUCUUCUGACAUCCCAUGUAAAUAUGGAUUUAGUGGUGGUGGCCUCCAAAACGAUCCAUUUUUGAACAUACGGAAAUCUUCUGUCCUCCACUUGGUUGGAGCAUCUCCCUGAAGAAUUGAAUAAAGCUUCCAUCUAUAAUACACAUGGGCUGGAGUCUGGUUUUCAAACAGAAACCUGAACAUUGGGUUGUUGAUUUCUCGGUUCAUGAUCAUGGCUUCAAACAUGGGCCCUUCCCGUACCACAAACUCUAUCAUUCGAUGUAUCAGUGCGAGCAAAUUCCUUUCUGUUGGGAUAACCACUUUGACUAUGGCUUGCGACAGAGUCUUCUCAAAAUCUUCCUUGUUUUUUGGUGGGGGUAACAUUGGAG